CGGACUGGUGAGUAACGCGUGAGGAACCUGCCUUUCGGAGGGGGACAACAGUUGGAAACGACUGCUAAUACCGCAUGAUACAUUUGGGCCGCAUAGUCUGAAUGUCAAAGAUUUAUCGCCGAAAGAUGGCCUCGCGUCUGAUUAGCUAGUUGGUGGGGUAACGGCCCACCAAGGCGACGAUCAGUAGCCGGACUGAGAGGUUGGCCGGCCACAUUGGGACUGAGAUACGGCCCAGACUCCUACGGAAGGCAGCAG
rnacentral:rRNA from 1 species